rnacentral:rRNA from 1 species
AACGAACGCUGGCGGCAGGCCUAACACAUGCAAGUCGAGCGCACCUUCGGGUGAGCGGCGGACGGGUUAGUAACGCGUGGGAACGUACCCUUCUCUACGGAAUAGCCUCGGGAAACUGAGAGUAAUACCGUAUACGCCCUUUGGGGAAGGAUUAUCGGAGAAGGAUCGCCGCGUUGGAUUAGGUAGUUGGUGGGUAAGUGGCCUACCAAGCCUACGAUCCAUAGCUGGUUUGAGAGGAUGAUCAGCAACACUGGGACGUGAGACACGGCCCAGACUCCUACGGGAGGCAGCAGUGGGGAAGUCUUAGACAAUGGGGGAAACCCGUGAUCUAGCCAUGCCGCGUGAGUGAUGAAGGCCCUAGGGUCGUAAAGCUCUUUCGCUGGGGAAGAUAAUGACUGUACCCAGUAAAGAAA